UACGGGGGGGGCAAGCGUUGUUCGGAAUUACUGGGCGUAAAGGGCUCGUAGGCGGCCAACUAAGUCCGACGUGAAAUCCCAAGGCUUAACCUUGGAACUGCGUCGGAUACUGGAUGGCUUGAAUUCGGGAGAGGGAUGCAGAAUUCCAGGUGUAGCGGUGAAAUGCGUAGAUAUCUGGAGGAAUACCGGUGGCGAAGGCGGCAUCCUGGACCGACAUUGACGCUGAUGAGCGGAAGCUAGGGGAGCAAACGGG
rnacentral:rRNA from 1 species